rnacentral:rRNA from 1 species
ACGGAAGGCAGCAGUGGGGAAUAUUGGGCAAUGGGCGAAAGCCUGACCUAGCGACGCCGCGUGAGGGAAGAAGAUCUUCGGAUUGUAAACCUUAGUCAACAGGGAAGAAGAAAGUGACGGUACCUGUGGAGGAAGCCACGGCUAACUACGUGCCAGCAGCCGCGGUAAUACGUAUGGAGCAAGCGUUAUCCGGAUUUACUGGGUGUAAAGGGAGCGUAGACGGCAAAGCAAGUCUGAAGUGAAAUCCCGGGGCUCAACCCCGGAACUGCUUUGGAAACUGUUUAGCUAGAGUGCAGGAGAGGUAAGCGGAAUUCCUAGUGUAGCGGUGAAAUGCGUAGAUAUUAGGAGGAACACCAGUGGCGAAGGCGGCUUACUGGACUGUAACUGACGUUGAGGCUCGAAAGCGUGGGGAGCAAACAGGAUUAGAUACCCUGGUA